GUCUAUCUGAUGAGUUAAGCCUUUUUCAACUGAUUUUUAUAGUUCGUUCUUAUGUUAUAUUGUUAUACCACUGUCCCAGGUUAGGGGGAGGGUUGGGAUCCCGCUAAAAUGUUUAACCCCGCCACAUUUUUUAUGUAUGUGCCUGUCCCAAGUCAGGAGCCUGUAAUUCAGUAUUUGUCGUUUGUUUAUGUGUUACAUGUUUGUUUUUCGUUCAUUUUUUUACAUAAAUAAGGCCGUUAGUUUUCUCGUUUGAAUUGUUUUACAUUGUCU
rnacentral:lncRNA from 1 species